GUUUCCCCAGGGGCUUGCCGCUUUGCGUAGAUGGCAUUUCGACGAGCCACCACUGAGGACUGCGGCGAAAAGUGCCCCUUCAGCUGUUCCAUUAUUGUUUUGUAUGGAACAGUAGCGACGUCUUAAGGCGCAAGGAGAUCCUGGGCGAUUUCAAACGUCUCCUCUCCGCAGACGCUGAAGAAUAUCGCCCUCUUCUUGGCAUCUUCUUCGUCAGUGACCCCUUUGGCUUCUAGGAGGAAGGUGAAAUGGGAGGCGUACGCUUCCCAGUCUCCAGAUGCUGGGUUGACCGGCGAGAAGCUGCUGUCGGUUGCCAUUCUGAGUUCCUUGUGUCCCGGAGCUGAAGCCUGGAUACACGGUACGAGGCAGCGGUGCGGCAGGUGGCGGUGCUGCGGUGCUGUGUGUGGCAGUCAGCUCAGCGGGAUCCCAUCCUCGUCGCCAGUGAAAUAUACUCAGAGUCGCAAAGUGAUUUCAUGCUCUUUAUUCAGCUCAUAGUGGUGAGGAGGAAUGAAUGAAAGUCUCCUCAAAGUAUCUGCUUUAUAUACAUUAUUUACACAAUGGGCUGCACAUGAUUGGCUAAUUCUGGAAUUCUACUGUAAGCCAAUCAGGUUGUGGAUUCACUUAUAUCUGGAGCAUGAUUGGGUGGUUCCUGCCAACCAAUCAUACUGCUGCAUUGUUCUAGGACCAAUCAGACUGCUGCAUUCUGAAUCCUAUUGUUCUAGGACCAAUCAGACUGCUGCAAUUUGGAUCCUAUUGUUCUAGGACCAAUCAGACUGCUGCAGUUUGGAUCCUAUUCAACUCAGUACAUAACAGUGGCCUUUCCUUCAAUUCUGUGCCAGGACAAUGCCUUGGUUUUAGAGUUUACAAUUAAGCUAAAGUAUGCAUUUAUUUUAUUUAAAUCUCACCAUUCCUCCAAGCAGGUAAAUAUGGUGUACAUGGCUCUCCCUGCCCAUUUCCCUGCCUCACAACAACCCCAUGAAGUAGGUUGUUGUUGUUUGGUCGUUUAGUUGUGUCCAACUCUUUGUGACCCCAUGGACCAGAGCAUGCCACUGCCUCCACUGCCUCCUGCAGUUUGGUCAAACUCGUGUUUGUAGCUUCGAGAACACUGUCCAACCAUCUUGUCCUCUGUCGUCCCCUUCUCCUUGUGCCCUCCAUCUUUCCCAACAUCAGGAUCUUUUCCAGGGAGUCUUCUCUUCUAAUGAGGUGGCCAAAGUAUUGGAGCCUCAGCUUCACGAUCUGUCCUUCCAGUGAGCACUCAGGGCUGAUUUCCUUAAGAAUGGAUAGGUUUGAUCUUCUUGCAGUCCAUGGGAAGUAGGUUAGGCUAAGAAUAUCCAUGAAACUCACCACCCUUUUAGGUUGACUGUUGUUCCUGCAUCCUUUCCUUUGUUUACCCAAGCUGGAUUCAAAACAUUUACAGAUGCUCCAAUACUGAUUAAUUACUGGGUUACAGUAACUGGUUUCCCAAUGGGAGUCCGCUUUGUGGGUCUCCACAAGAGAUUAGGACUUCCCAAAGCCACAACCCCUGGAGCAUCCAAAACAACCGGGCCCCUCUGUUAAUUUUGAAGGUCCUGUGAAACUCUCAGCUGCUCCUGUGAAACUCUCAGCUGCUCCUCAGUGUGGGUCCCAGUGGAUGCUGCUGGGGAAGCUGUUGGAAUCAAAGGAACUGGAUGUGUGGGAGGGGAGGGCUAUUUGUGCUAUUUGUUCUGCUUCCCCCAUCCUCAUAAGUACCAAUGCAUUUCUCAACACAGAGUUAGGUUGCUGAUGAAACUGACCAUAUCCUCUCCCAAAUUCCUAAGCAUGUCCCAGAUCUGAUUACACACAGGCUCUUCUACAUCUGGCCUGUUACCUCCCUGAGUAAGUUACCCUUACAUCCCUUGCCCAACCCCCUCCUUAAGUCCUUAUGUAAACACAACCUCUUGUUUCUGCUAUGGUGUCUGUCCGUCAUUCAAACCUGCCCAGGAAGUGGCUCCUCCUUUGCCAAAAUCAAAAUGGCCAAAAAUUCCUCCACCAACCUAUUUUUUAAAAAAAUGAUAUGUGUUUUUGUAUUUUUAUAUUGUAAACAACCCUGUGAUCCUCAGAUGAAGGGGGGGUAUAGAAAUUUAAUAAACAAUAGAUAGUAUCUUCAGUACUUAGCAGCUAUAGAUGAUUCCUUAAGAACUGAGCUCUGCAGCCAGUUUCUGCUGCCUUCUACCUAGUAGAUGAGUAAGAUCUGACAAUGAAUGUUCCUCACAUCCCAGCAGAGUGCAUGGUCUAUUUAAAACUUGAGCAUGAAGUUUGCUGUUAGACUACAGCAUUUAUUAAUUUCUGGAAUUAAUGAAAAACAUGAAAUUAAUUAAAUGAAAUUAAUUAUUGAAAACAUGGUAUUAAUGAAAGACAUGAAAAAUUGUUCUAGUUUCUUGUUACACACUACACUGAGCCCACUAAUUCUUUUGUUUAAAUAUAACUUUGCAGUGGGUUGCUGCAAAAAUUAGAAUGUGUGUCGGGGGGAGUGGAGAGAGUUGUUCUAGAUUUUGCAGAUACUUGAGCAAGGCUCCUGGACCAAAAAAAUCAAGAUGCUUCAUUUGACAUCUAGGAGCAACAGCAUUCUGAGCCUCUCGGCUGGUUCGGCUUUGCAUGAUGUUUUUGUUGAGAAGUGAGGUGCUUAAUAAUUCAGAUGCCUUGGAAUUUAUCCACAACUAGUUCUGACUGCUGCAAGAUUCAUCUACCCAUAUAAUGCAUUGUUAGUUUGCCAGGUAAAGCUCUUGGGGCCCAGCCAGCACCAGGUGACCUAAAAGGUCAAAUGUUAUGCAUUCACAGUUGCUGUGCAGGUGAUUUUUUUUCUUCCUUGGGUAUUAUUAUUAUUAUUAAUUCAAAUGUGUAUAUUGCCCUUCAUUCAAAGAUCACAGGGCUGUUCACAACAGAACAGUAAGAAGAGAUGGUUUUGUCCUUCAGGAAGUAAGAGAUUUUGAGAUACCUUUAGAUAAACUGUAUCAUGGGAAGGUUUGUCGCUGAAGGGUACAGUGCAUGCUUUGUAGGGGGAAACUUAGUGCCAGUUUCAGUGCCUAAUAUCAGCAAGCAGGUCUGUCUGGAAACCAUGGGGAACUGCUAUCAGUGUAGACAGUAUUAUCCCUGACAGAUUUGACUUGGUUUUAAGUAAUAUACCAUGUUCCUAAUCCAAAUUCUAGCUUGAAAGAUGUUAUGUACAGUUGGGGAUAUUUUAUAAUAGAUGCACAGAGUUUAAGGAUGCAGCUAUCUAGUAAUUGGACUAAGCAGGAAAUUAACCAUUGUAUUCCACCAGAUUAUGUUUUUGUGUGAAAAUGACCACCAUAGGAACAGUUAUAUUGGUGGGCUGGGAGACAUGGGCCUGGUCUGAAUCCAGACCAGACCAUACAUGACAGGUGGACAAUCUAGAUGAGAUGGACUGGUUUGAAUAGUGCUCUUGUGAUUUGAUCUCUUGCCAUUUUUAGAAAGAGAGUGUUCCUUCCACUUCUAUGCUCCAGCUGUUCAUCUGCAGUUCUAACAGCCCCCAGAUGCUCAUCAACAUAGGAACAUAGGAAGCUGCCUAAUCCUGAGUCAGACAGGUGGUCCAUCUAGCUUAGUAUUGCCUACACUGACUGCAGACCUUCCAAGUGUCCCUAUUUUCCAGGGACAUCCCUAAUUUAGAGAAGUCGUCCUGGUUUCUGAUUUGAUCCCAGAAUGUUCCACUUUUCCUUAGGAUGUCCCUGUUUUCACUGGAGAAAUGUUGGAGGGUAUGGAGUUAUGUGAAUCCUGAGCCAAGGAGAUAAGUAGGUAUACAACCUUUAGAAGACACCUGAAGGCAGCCCUGUAUAGGAUUUUUUUGAAUGUUUAACGUUUUACUAUGUUUUUAUAUACAUUGGAAGCCACCCUGGUUGGCUGGGGCAGUCUAGUCAGAUGGGUGGGGUACAAAUAAUAAAGUUAUUGUUGUUGUUGCUGCUGUUGUUAUUAAAUGGGGCAUCCCUAUUUUAAAAACUGGUAGGUUUUUUGAAAAUGGAAAAUGGUAAUGCAGACAACUCUAAAUAUUCCUGUUAAUGCAAAAGUAAUGCAAGAUUGUUGUAACCUAUUCUACUAGACCUACUCCCUG